AAACCCUCCAUUUGUCUGAGCCAGGGCCCUUAGUGUCCUCGGGAGAGAACUUGACCUUGCAGUGCUACUCAGAGAUCUGGUUGGGUACCUUCUGUCUGUCCAAGGACCGGUCACUUGUGCCUCCCCAAAACCAUCGAUUGAAAGACAUGGCCUUACUCUCUCAGGCCAAGUUUACUCCAAGCCCUCUGACUUCAGCCCACAGGGGGACCUACUAGUGCUGUGGUCCACAUAGUUCCUCCUUACCCCUAUUGUCACACCCCAGUGACCCCUAAAGAUUUUGGUCUCACCUUCAGACUAUGCAAUGGAGAAUCUCAUUCCAAUGACCAUGCUGGCUUGAUCCUGGCGGUCUCUAGGGGAUGAUCUUUCAGGCUCAGCACAGCCAGAGAAGGCCCCCAAAGGCCGCC
rnacentral:lncRNA from 1 species